GGUGUGGAUAGGGGAGAAAUUCCAAUCGAACCCGGAGAUAGCUGGUUCUCCUCGAAAUAGCUUUAGGGCUAGCCUCGUAUUAGUCUGGUGGAGGUAGAGCACUGAAUUUCCUAGGGGGCGUCAAAGCCUACCGAAGAAUAUCAAACUCCGAAUGCCAUACAGAUGAUGUACGGGAGUCAGACGGCACGAGAUAAGUUGGGUCGUCAAAAGGGAAAGAGCCCAGACCUGCAGCUAAGGUCCCAAAGUGUGUGUUAAGUGGAAAAGGAUGUGGGAUUUCAAAGACAACUAGGAUGUUGGCUCAGAAGCAGCCACACAUUCAAAGAGUGCGUAAUAGCUCACUAGUCGAGAGGUCCUGCGCCGAAAAUGUCCGGGGCUGAAACACAACACCGAAGCUCAGGAAUGUAUUUAUACAUUGGUAGAGGAGCAUUCUUAAAGGGGCGAAGCAGUACCGAUAAGGAGCUGUGGACUUUUAAGAAGAGAGAAUGCCGGAAUGAGUAGCGAGAUGGAGGUGGGAAUCCUCCAGGCCGAAUAUCUAAGGUUUCCAGGGUAAAGCUGAUCUGCCCUGGGUAAGUCGGGGCCUAAGGCAAGGCUGAGAAGCGUAGCUGAUGGACAACAGGUUUAGAUUCCUGUACCACAUGAUAUCAGAACUGUGGGGACGCAGAGGGAUAAGAUGACCGGGGAACAGAACCCCGGGCAAGCGUAGGAGGUGUCAGGCAGGCAAAUCCGCCUGAUAAGCCAAAGACGUGACGCGGACCGAACCAAAGUAGGGAAGCAUCCGAUUCCAGCUGCCGAGAAAAGCCGCUAUUGUGUAUCAUGUGCCCGUACCGUAAACCGACACAGGUGGAUGAGGAGAGAAUCCUAAGGCCGGCGGGAGAAGCAUUGUUAAGGAACUCGGCAAAAUGACCCCGUAACUUCGGGAUAAGGGGUGCCAGAGAGAUCUGGCCGCAGAGAAUAGGCUCAAGCAACUGUUUAGCAAAAACACAGGUCUAUGCGAAACCGUAAGGUGAUGUAUAUGGGCUGACGCCUGCCCGGUGCUGGAAGGUUAAGAGGAGAGGUUAGAGCAAUCGAAGCUUUGAAUUGAAGCCCCAGUAAACGGCGGCCGUAACUAUAACGGUCCUAAGGUAGCGAAAUUCCUUGUCGGGUAAGUUC
rnacentral:rRNA from 1 species